rnacentral:rRNA from 1 species
UACGUAGGGGGCAAGCGUUGUCCGGAUUCAUUGGGCGUAAAGGGCGAGUAGGUGGUUACGCAAGUCGGAUGUGAAAACUCCAGGCUCAACCUGGAGACGCCACCCGAUACUGCGUUGACUAGAGUCCGGUAGGGGACCACGGAAUACCUGGUGUAGCGGUGAAAUGCGCAGAUAUCAGGUGGAACACCGGUGGUGUAGACGGCUCACUGGACCGUAACUGACGCUGAGACACGAAAGCGUGGGUAGCAAACAGG